UACGAAGGGGGCUAGCGUUGCUCGGAAUCACUGGGCGUAAAGGGUGCGUAGGCGGGUCUUUAAGUCAGGGGUGAAAGCCCAGAGCUCAACUCUGGAAUUGCCUUUGAGACUGAGUGGCUUGAGUACGAGAGAGGUGAGUGGAAUUCCCAGUGUAGAGGUGAAAUUCGUAGAUAUUGGGAAGAACACCGGUGGCGAAGGCGGCUCACUGGCUCGUAACUGACGCUCAUGCACGACAGCGUGGGGAUCAAACAGG
rnacentral:rRNA from 1 species